CCCAGACUCCUACGGGAGGCAGCAGUGAGGAAUAUUGGUCAAUGGGCGCGAGCCUGAACCAGCCAAGUCGCGUGAGGGAUGACGGCCCUACGGGUUGUAAACCUCUUUUGUCGGGGAGCAAAUUCCGUUACGUGUAACGGAGUCGAGAGUACCCGAAGAAAAAGCAUCGGCUAACUCCGUGCCAGCAGCCGCGGUAAUACGGAGGAUGCGAGCGUUAUCCGGAUUUAUUGGGUUUAAAGGGUGCGUAGGCGGGCUUUUAAGUCAGCGGUAAAAAUUCGGGGCUCAACCCCGUCCGGCCGUUGAAACUGGGGGCCUUGAGUGGGCGAGAAGAAGGCGGAAUGCGUGGUGUAGCGGUGAAAUGCUUAGAUAUCGCGCAGACCCCCGAUUGCGAAGGCAGCGUACCGGCGCCACACUGCCGCUGAGGCACGAAAGCGUGGGUAUCGAACAGGAUUAGAUCCCCGCGUAUA
rnacentral:rRNA from 1 species